UACGUAGGGUGCAAGCGUUGUCCGGAAUUAUUGGGCGUAAAGAGCUCGUAGGCGGUCUGUCGCGUCGGCUGUGAAAACCCGGAGCUCAACUCCGGGCCUGCAGUCGAUACGGGCAAACUGGAGUGUUGCAGGGAGACUGGAAUUCCUGGUGUAGCGGUGAAAUGCGCAGAUAUCAGGAGGAACACCGGUGGCGAAGGCGGGUCUCUGGGCAACAACUGACGCUGAGGAGCGAAGCGUGGGAGCGAACAGG
rnacentral:rRNA from 1 species